UACGUAGGGCGCAAGCGUUGUCCGGAAUUAUUGGGCGUAAAGAGCUCGUAGGCGGCUUGUCACGUCGGGUGUGAAAGCCCGGGGCUUAACCCCGGGUCUGCAUUCGAUACGGGCUAGCUAGAGUGUGGUAGGGGAGAUCGGAAUUCCUGGUGUAGCGGUGAAAUGCGCAGAUAUCAGGAAGAACACCCGUGGCGAAAGCGGCUCUCUGGAACGGUACUGACGCUGAGACGCGAAAGCGUGGGGAGCGAA
rnacentral:rRNA from 1 species